CGAGCUUGAGACUGCUGCAUAACACUUGCAAAUUGACCACGGGCCAAUUGAACAUAACCAAUGGAACGCCCAGCAAAUCUGCCAGCUGUUCUUGCUAUGAUGGGCAAAUCUUUAGGUCCUAAAAACAUAAAUGGCUUUUUUUAAAAGGUCAAACCAUAUCAUCUGGGCAAAUCUUUAGGUCCUAAACAUAAAUUGCUUUUUUAAAAGGGCAAACCAUAUCAUCUGCGCCCACACACAUAUAAUGAACUAGACGUUUCGCAUUAAGAUAAGCACAAAUCAACAACCCCCAGUAGCAAUUACAUUGAACAAAGUGAUUAAUUUCCUUAACACCGCUAUAACAAGCAUAUUUGAUCGUUGGCAUUAUCUUUUGCAAUCAAAACUUAAUUACUCAAACAAUAACAACAACACAUUAUAAUCUCACUUAGUGGGGUCUGGGGAGGGUAGUAUGUACGCAGACCUUACCCCUACACUUGGGCAGAGAGACUGUUUCCAAAUAGACUCCCGGCAUACUUACCUCCAAUAACUUACCACCUUGAUCUUGGGAGACUCGAACUCACAACCUCCUGGUUGGAAGUGGGUUGCUUACCAUCAUAGCAACCCCUCUUGUCUACCAAUUACAGCAGCAGUAGCGCCAAGCCAGAGAAAUAGCUCUCCAUAUGAAAUUCCCAGCAUAUCUCUUCUUUCACUUUGUUUCUGUCAUAUCUUUGAAGAUUGUAAAACAAGGACCCCGCCUUAUCGGAAUUUUGGUCGGAGAAUUCGUCUGAGAGUACCCCGCCGGCAAGGUCGUUAAACUUAACCAUGCUAGAGACAGUGAACACACUGAGGGUAAUUGGCUCUCGAUGAAGAAAUGAAUUGGAAGAGAUUAAAAUUUAAUCUUUCCGAAAUGGAAGAUUUUGUGAUGAACUUUCAAUAAAUAUGACUUUCUCAAAUUUACAUAACCAUCUCCUAUUUUAUCGAUCGAAAAGAGUACUGAAAUGUAAUGAGAUAACACCAACCUUCUCACAUUUUUUUUAAAUCAU
rnacentral:lncRNA from 1 species